UACAGAGGGUGCAAGCGUUAAUCAGAAUUACUGGGCGUAAAGCGUGCGCAGGCGGUUUUGUAAGUCUGACGUGAAAUCCCCGGGCUUAACCUGGGAAUUGCGUUGGAGACUGCAAGGCUGGAGUCUGGCAGAGGGGGGGUAGAAUUCCACGUGUAGCAGUGAAAUGCGUAGAGAUGUGGAGGAACACCGAUGGCGAAGGCAGCCCCCUGGGUCAAGACUGACGCUCAUGCACGAAAGCGUGGGGAGCAAACAGG
rnacentral:rRNA from 1 species